CACACAGACACACACACACACACACACAGACACACACAUAGACACACACACACGCAGUCAAACACAACCCCCUCUGGCCUUGGCACCUAGAAACAGACACAAAAUGAGGUCUACAUUAAACCGCAGAGGGAGAAAGGAGAGGAGUGAGGAGAGAGAAACAUGGAGGCAGAGCAGCAGCAGCAGCAGAGGAGGAGAACGUCCUGGAAUAACCCCGUGUUUUUCCACAGACCUUGAACAGAUUGGCUUCUUAAAGGAUGGAGAGUGUACACAGUGAAGGACUUCCUGGAACGGACCAGGUCACAUGUGGCAGAGUUCCCAGCGGCGGAAAGAUCAGAGGCUGCGCCCUGAUCCAACCAAUCAGCCAUCAAUGAGGCUCACCUGACCGGGGAGUCCUUUGGAAGCUGCUGUGCCAGGAUCAGAGGAGGAGGAUUCCAGCGUGGAGACGGCUUUACAUCACAUUUCAAUUAAUAAUGGUCA